UUUAGCGCACGCUGUAUGCUUGAAGUAACGUUAAUUUAAAAAAUGUAACCCAGCGAUUGCAUUAAGAACUAAUUUGUCUUUCAAUUGCUGUCUACCCUGUAUUUUUGUUGUCAAGUUUAUGAAUAGUUUUCGAUUAGAAUAGGUGCCUCUCCAAGAUGGCGCCGGACAGAUUGCUUGAGGUUUUGGACACUAAUCACAUUGUAUAAGCACGAUUUGUGCCGCUAAAUAUGCACAUUUUCGAACAAACUCUAUAUGCAUUGUGUAAUAUGAUGUUAUAGGACUGUCAUCUGAAGAAUUCUGAGAAGGUUAGUGAAAAAAUUAAUAUAUUUUGGUGGUUUAUACGUUAUCGCUAUUUUUGCCUUUAAUCAAUGCUGUUGUGAUGUUUGCUAUUGUGGUAAGCUAAUAUAACGCUAUAUUGUGUUUUCGCUGUAAAACACUUAGAAAAUCUGAAAUAUUGUCUGGAUUCACAAGAUCUGUGUCUUUCAUCUGCUGUACGCUGUGUAUUUUUAAGAAAUGUUUUAUGAUGAGUAAUUAGCUAAUACACGAUGGUCUCUGUAGUUAUUCUAGUUGCUUUGGUGAGAGUUGUGAUAGUGGCUGCAAUGGUAAACUAUGAUUUAUACCUGAAAUAUGCACAUUUUUCUAACAAAACAUAUGCUAUACAAUAAAUAUGUUAUCAGACUGUCAUCUGAUGAAGUUGGCUGUUUAUAUCUUUAUUUGGUCGAAUUUGUGAUAGCUACUGAUGGAGUAAAAAAAUGGUGGAGUAAAGAAGUGGUGUCUUUUGCUAACGUGGUUAGCUAAUAGAUUUACAUAUUGUGUCUUCCCUGUAAAACGUUUUAAAAAUCACAAAUGAUGGCUGAAUUCACAAGAUGUGUAUCUUUCAUUUGGUGUCUUGGACUUGUGAUUUCAUGAACAUUUUAUUAUAUGAUAUCCCUGUGGCUUUAGGCUAGGCUAUGCUAGUCAGCUUUUUUGAUGGGGGUGCUCCCGGAUCCGGGUUUGUGAGGCGUUAUAGGUUAACCCUUUCAUGCAUGAGUUCCAAAUAUUUCUAACGGUCGCCCCAGCGUGAGUUUUGUUAUGCACGUGAUGUUAGAACAUUCUCUCCAUUCAAGAAUGUGAUUGUUAUGUAACAGUACAUUUAAUCUGCGCUGCCCUCAAACCAAAGCACGCAGCCUGUUUUAUUUGUCAAUUUUAAAUUAUUUUCUAACAAGUUUUUUAUUUUCUAAUAACAGUUGGAAAUGAGGUGUGUUCCGCCUCAUUCAUUCACAUAAAAGUAGUCAUUUUUACUUUUGCGGACCAAUUAAUUUUUUUGACAUUUCUGACCCGGACAAAAUUCCCCAAACACUUCUCAAUUGUUUGUGCAGGACAUUUACUCAUCUGCCGUCCUGCAUACACGUGUUCAUAUUUUCCACCUGUCACCUGCAUCGAAAUCAAAGUUGUUUUCGUUACCAAUAAUACCUUUGGAAAUGUGUGCGUUUCUAUCAAAGUGCCUAAAUACUUUAUAAUAGUUUCUGCAUGUCGUGUUACGUCGUUUCUACUGUAACAUGUUUUUGUGUAUAUUCCUUAUAACUGCGGACACGCGAUGUAACGUUACUCGUUUCAUAACAUUUAUGGUGUUAUACUCAACGCUUAGGUAUCUAGCUACAUUCUCCUAUUAGCUCUGGAAAACAAUGCUAAUUGCGUCAGGGAAGUAUUAGCAUGUGUUGUAUUUUGAAGCUACACUGGCCUUAUGACUCCCAAGUGGCACAGCGUCUCAGUGCUAGAAGCGUCACUACAGAGACCCAUCUUCAAAUCAAGACUGCGUUUCUAUCAAAGUGGUCCACCUUCCCUGUGGCCGACAUGGUUGCUGUAUGGACAGUGGAGAGGACAUGGACGUCUCGUUUGUCAAGCCACUUUACUGCCAGCUGUUAACAUUUCUUAUUUUGAAUAACGGGUCAUUUAGGAUGGUAGUAGUGUUGAUGAAAUGCAGUCAUAGCAGCAGAACUAGAAAGCAGUCUUUACUGUCACCAGGAAUGUAUACAUUUCACUAAUUGUGGUUGUCCCCCACUCCUGGCUCUCUCUUAUCCUGUAGCUCCAAAGCAUAGUGAUUGGUCUCUACUAUGUCUCCCACCAGCUCCUCUGUCAGAAACAACUUGAAGCACUCUGCCUCAGUUGGAAAUGGCAAGGGGCGUUGCACUCCAGACUGGGACUCGCCAAAGCAAACAGCAGGGCCAGGAAGGGUGAAAUGACUGGUGGCCUUCCAGCUACCACAGAAAUCCUGUACUUCAUCUACUGUUGGUAUGCCUCCAUCACCACCAGCAUCUUCAAAGGGACCUGGGACUUCGUCAGUGGACAAGGGAAAUUCAGAUUCAGGGUUCUCAAUGGCUACAAGGUUGGGGGGCAGCUCCUCACUCACUGUCAGAAUCUGAUUCCUGACUUUCAUACUCUGACUCAUUGUCAGAAUUUUUAAAAAAUCUCCAGAAUUUCCACAUUUGUUUGUUGUCUCCUUUUGAAAGACAUUGCUAAUGCUUCAGCUUAGCUCACUAGCUACAUACAUAAACAACAACACUGAAUGGUUUACAGUGAGAGGGUACGUGGUUGACUGCCGGCACGCGCCACUUGUAUCAAUAAAUCACUAUCAGAAAAUG